rnacentral:lncRNA from 1 species
CACCAUCCUCACCCUCACCCCCACCCACCGGCCAAAGCCCCGAUUCCUCCACCAGCCAAACCUCCGGUCAAGCCUCCGACCAAAGCCCCAGUUAAGCCCCCAGUAAAACCCCCGGUUAAGCCACCAGCCAAAGCUCCGGUUUACCCUCCGACCAAAGCCCCUGUUAAGCCCCCAGUCAAACCCCCGGUUAUGCCACCAGUUUCACCACCAGCCAAGCCUCCGGUUAAGCCCCCGGUUUACCCUCCGACCAAAGCUCCUGUUAAGCCCCCAACUAAAGCCCCAGUUAAGCCUCCGGUUUCCCCUCCAACCAAGCCACCGGUUUCUCCUCCGGCAAAGCCACCGGUUAUGCCGCCGGUUUACCCGCCGAAGUUCAACAGA